UACGUAGGGUGCAAGCGUUAAUCGGAAUUACUGGGCGUAAAGCGUGCGCAGGCGGUUUGGAAAGAAAGAUGUGAAAUCCCAGAGCUUAACUUUGGAACUGCAUUUCUAACUGCCAAGCUAGAGUAUGUCAGAGGGGGGUAGAAUUCCACGUGUAGCAGUGAAAUGCGUAGAGAUGUGGAGGAAUACCGAUGGCGAAGGCAGCCCCCUGGGAUAAUACUGACGCUCAUGCACGAAAGCGUGGGGAGCAAACAGG
rnacentral:rRNA from 1 species